UUUGGAGAAUUCUAUAUUUUUCGUUCACACAUUGUUUGCUUAUCGUUAAAGCAUGAAACCUAUUUUUUACUUUUUUUUCUUGAGUCAGCUAACGAUUUCAAAAUAAUGUUAAAACCGAUCCAGAUUCAAUAAGAAUCCACAGAAUUAGCACUUGAAAGGAAAAUAUAUGCAGCGCCAUUCAUGAUUUUUCUAAAAGUACAAAUUUAAUUAUAAAGAUCAGGGAUACUUUUAUAUCCUUCACCAGAGAAGUAUGGUACCCUUCUCUCUUCCUCAUACUUAAGCUGAUAAAAAGACGCAACGAGCUAUAAUUACCAUGAGUGAGAUUUCCGAACACACCCUAGCACUCGAGAUGAUGCCGUAAUAAGUAGUAAGUAUCCGGAAGGUACUGUGUUUUUAAACGGCAAGUCUAAAAACUAUUCUUGUCGACCUCAGUGUCGUCAGAGAUAAAAAAAAAAGAAAUGUAACUUUCUAUACAUCCUACAAGUGCAACAAGAACAGAUUUAUUGACGCUUAAAAAUGUGAGGCAAGGAGAUACAUAUAAAUGACCUGAAUAAUGAGCAACAUAUGUUAUCGCAUUAGCUUCAAGAUGAAUACGCUGUUCAAUGGUUCUACAUAUCAUGAUGACCCAGGCGUGUUCUUAGAUGGGGAAGUUUACAAGGAAUCCAAAUAUGUUUUACGUUCUCAGAAUGCCAGGAUGUCUAAAAGAUAAUCUCACAAAAUAUUCCUUCCAGAAACCCAAACAAAAACUAUACGAGCAAGAAUUGGUCUGCUAUCCACAAAAAUGGGCCUUUUGCCUUCGGAUGAAAGAAAGAAGUCACCAUUAUUUCGCAACCGAAUGGUACCUUGUCUUCUAGACACUUUCCAAGCAGGUCCUUCCAAGUCAUGGUGAAUUCGGCAUCAAUGGUCUCGUCCUUCUGGUCGGCUAACUCGGCAUCGUUGAUCAUAUCCUCGGCAUCAGAGAAGUUUAGGACAUGCUCGCCACGAGGAAGACUCUGCACGGUUUGAUCAGGAGGUCCUCUUCUGCUUUGCUGUAUAAUGUUCUUGCUUGUACGCUUGCUAUUAACUCUGGAUGCAAGUUACGCAUUGCCUGGACAGCAACACGAGAUACAGCACUGUCAUAUAACAGAGCAUACCAUCUCUGCUGUAUUUCCUGAAGGGUGAAUCGACA